rnacentral:lncRNA from 1 species
UUCCAGAUAAGCUGCUCUUUGCCUGAAGUCAGAGAUGUGAUGUUCCCUUUCGCACAAUCAGAGACAAAUUAAGACAUUUACCAGGAUGUCAGAGUGAGAUCAAGCAAAAAUGACUUCAUCUGGCUUCUGAGCCAAAGGGGAAAAGCUUUUUACUUACAAGCUGUGCCUUCCGUUAAACCUUUCACAGCAAACAAGUACUAAUAAUCUGAACUGUCUCACCCUCCCAAUGAUGAUAUUACUGAACACCAUCUGUCAAAUAAGAAGGCCUGCAAAAAGGUAUCAAGGAAACAUUGUCCAGUUUAGAAAAGAUUGUAAGUUUUCGAGGGACUCAGGCGAGGAUCCAACAUGAAAGUGAAGGACUACUAGUUGCUAGACUCCACCCUGGCAAGAGGUGAGCAUAUAUGUGACCCAACCAGAGGGACUGUCUGUGCCUCGGCAUUUGGAAGACAUCUAGUGCACUUCUUCCCUUCCCUUCCCUUCC